AGGGCGCGCCGCGUGCCAGUGACAGUUGAGGCGCAUGCGCACCGCGCACGUGCUGACAGGCGCUCCUCACUUCGAGACUCUUCCGGGUCGCUGCCGGGCGCUUCUCUCGGGCGCUGCAUGAAUGUGCGGACUUGUACUUGAUUUCUCGCGUUAACAGACGAGGUGCAAGACCAGGGUGCCGAGAAAUGGAAAUCAGUGUACCAAGAGAGCUGGGAAUUUAGAAUUAGUCAUUAAAAGAAUUCAGAGAAAAUAUUUCUUGGAAGAUGGCCACUAUGCAAUUGCGGAGGACAGCUUCCAUGAGUGCAUUGGUAUUUCCCAAUAAGAUAUCAACUGAGCAUCAGUCUUUGAUGUUUGUGAAGAGGCUCCUAGCUGUUUCAGUAUCCUGCAUCACCUAUUUAAGAGGAAUAUUUCCAGAACGUGCUUAUGGGACAAGAUAUCUGGAUGAUUUCUGUGUCAAAAUUCUGAAAGAAGAUAGAAGCUGUCCAGGUUCUUCCCAGCUAGUGAAGUGGAUGCUAGGAUGCUAUGAUGCUUUACAGAAGAAAUAUCUAAGGAUGAUCAUUCUAGCUGUAUACACCAAUCCAGAAGAUCCUCAGACAAUUUCAGAAUGUUACCAGUUUAAAUUCAAGUACACUAAAAAUGGACCAGUCAUGGACUUUAUAAGCAAAAAUCAAAGCAAUAAAUCUAGUGUAACAUCUGCUGACACAAAGAGAGCAAGUAUUCUCCUCAUUCGGAAGAUUUAUGUCCUAAUGCAAAAUCUAGGACCAUUACCUAAUGAUGUUUGUCUGACCAUGAAACUUUUUUACUAUGAUGAAGUUACACCCCCACAUUACCAACCACCAGGUUUUAAGGAUGGUGAUUGUGAAGGAGUAAUAUUUGACGGGGACCCUACAUACUUAAAUGUGGGAGAAGUCCCAACACCUUUUCAUACCUUCAGAUUAAAAGUGACCACUGAGAAGGAACGAAUGGAAAAUAUGGAUUCAACCAUACUAACACCAAAACAAUCAAAAAUACCAUUUGAAAAAAUCCUAAUGGACAAAGAUGAUGUAGAAGAUGAAAAUCAUAAUAAUCUUGACAUUAAAACUAAAGUGAAUGAACAGAAUGAAAACUCUGAAGCUUCUGAAAUCAAAGAACCAGAUUUAGAUUGUAAGGAAGAAGAAAUUAUGCAAUUCAAAAAGAGCCAAAGUCCUUCAGUUUCUCAUUGUCAGGUUGAACAGUUAGUCAGUAAAACAUCUGAACUUGAUGUGUCUGAAAGCAAAACAAGAAGCGGAAAAGUCUUCCAGAGUAAAAUGGUAAAUGGAAGUCAACAAGGACAAACUUCUAAAGAAAAUCGGAAGAGAAGUCUUCGUCAAUCUGGGAAAACAGAUCAGGAAGUUUGUACUCUCUGCGUGGCUGAGAAGUUUUUCACCUACUAGAACCCGGCUAGGGUACGGGAAACAGGUGCACUCCAAAACUAGAACGCGAACUGCAGCCUACGUCCCACUGCAGCUCAGGAGCGACGUGAGGUGAGAAUGACAACAUUAACUCAUAGAACCCGUCGAACUGAAGUAAGUAAGAGCUCUGAAAAGAAAAUAGAAAGUGGUGAGGAAGACACUAAUCAAGAAAGGAGUCCAGAUAAUGAAGACCCUGGAGACUCUAAGGAUAUCCGCCUCACUCUUAUGGAAGAAGUAUUGCUCCUGGGACUAAAAGAUAAAGAGGGCUACACAUCUUUCUGGAAUGAUUGUAUAUCGUCUGGGCUUCGAGGAGGCAUUCUGAUAGAGCUGGCCAUGCGGGGCCGAAUCUAUCUGGAACCUCCCACCAUGCGUAAGAAGCGACUCCUAGACAGAAAGGUCCUGCUGAAGUCAGACAGCCCAACAGGUGAUGUUUUGCUGGAUGAAACGCUCAAACACAUUAAAGCAACUGAGCCAACAGAAACUGUGCAGACAUGGAUCGAGCUACUCACUGGUGAGACGUGGAACCCUUUCAAAUUACAGUACCAGCUGAGAAAUGUACGAGAACGAAUUGCCAAGAACCUGGUAGAAAAGGGUAUUCUAACCACAGAGAAGCAGAAUUUCCUUCUGUUUGACAUGACCACUCAUCCAGUGACCAAUACAACAGAGAAACAGCGACUAAUGAAAAAGCUUCAAGACAGUGUGCUGGAACGGUGGGUAAAUGACCCUCAGCGCAUGGACAGGCGAACACUUGCCCUCCUGGUACUGGCCCACUCCUCUGAUGUGCUGGAGAAUGUCUUCUCUUGUCUGACAGAUGAUAAGUAUGAUGUGGCAAUGAAUCGAACCAAGGACCUAGUAGAACUGGACCCUGAAGUGGAGGGGACAAAGCACAAUGCCACAGAGAUGAUCUGGGCUGUGCUGGCAGCCUUCAACAAAUCCUAAAGCCAGUAGAGGGGUGACUGUCAGAGACCCCAUCACUGAGUUCAGUGUGAUAAGAUAACUGUCAUCCUUUCCCCUCUUUUUGAAUUAGACUCCUGACUUGAGGAGGACAACCUCAAGGCCUCUCCAUGGGCCUUGACCUUCUAAGCAGACUAUUUCUCCUCACUCCCACUUUGUCUGAAUGGAAGGGGUGAACCCACAUAUAUCUAAUAAGCAUCUCCCAUUUAUGGAUUUAGUUUUAA